GUGAGAUCUUCUUGAAUGGCCCCAAAAAAAAAAACAAAAAAAAAAUUUUCCCUUAAUGAUGGAAUUUGCGCUCAAGCGGCAAAACAGCUUCCACCCCGUAAAUCAGCGAUAUGGAGUAGCUUGGGUUAUGUUGAUGAGUUGUUCGAUACGCCCAAAAGCUUCUCCAUUCUCUCGUGCCAAUCUCUUUGUGACUUGGCUACCACUUCUUUAACAGAUUUCCCAAUGUUUUGUUGAAUGCUUUCGGCGAGACCAUUUGGCCUGUGCAUUGUACAUGGAAGAUUAUGUUGCUUAAAGCAAAUUUUCACAAAAUUUAUUCAUCAACUAUUAUAAAAUGGCUUCCAUUGUCUGUAUGAUGAAGCGCGGCACACCUAUCUAAAAAUAAUGUUUGUACGAAUGACCCCCCCCCCUCCACAACGGUUUUUUUCUUUCUUUACCUCCUUAGUGGCACAGCUUCAAGCCCAUUUGGAGAAAGUAAUCAGUUGCAGCUGAAUAUAAAAGACAUGCAGAAGAUUAGGCAACGGCCCUACUACAUCUAGCCCCAAUGCAUCAAAUGGCCAAGAUGCAACAGUUUGAUGGAGCGGCUUCUGGCGGUUGAUUUAUGAUUUGCAUGAAAUUGACAUGCUUGACACCUCUUUGACUCAAGACAGUCUUUUACCAUGGUUGGGCCAGUACUAGCCCAUUCUCUUGAUUCGAAAAUGAAGCUUGGGCCGGACUGGUGAGCCCCCCCCAAAAAACCACAUAUACCAGAGUGAACUUCUUCUAAGGCUUUAUUUGGCUUCGUUUUCUUCCAAGGCACGAAAAAAGCAGUCCCCUCAAAGGAACGACGAUAACGUGUACUAUUGUGUAAAUAAACGUGGAGCACGUCGCCGGGGCGUCCUUACGUCAGUUUUUCUAUGCGGAUUCUCAGGCAACUUCCCAGUUUGUAGAUAAUCAAUGAGUGAUUGCCCGCCACCUCUUUCUCGAUUUCAAUACCGAAAUGGCAUUAGCCUCAUUUCAUCAUUAUAUUCAGCAUCAAAGUUUGGGGAAAUUACCCAUCCUGACAUAUGAAAUACGAGCCUUUUACGUUGGGUAGCGCAUAGAAUAAUGCAGUUUUUGCCAGUGCAUCUGCUUGUCUAUUCUUUGUUCUCGGCACAUGCUCUAUAAGUGACACACCAAGCCAUCCAAUCAUUCGGUGGCAUAAUUAUAGUAUGGCACCAUUUCCAGGUUUUCUCACUUCAUAAAUGUUAAUAAGUUGAUUAAUUAUCAACUUAGAGUCCCCUAUACUUCAGCCGCAGCUGCUUCUGUCACACAACCAUUUCUAGUCCGAUUAAUGAGAGCUUGAUAUUCAGCUUCAUUAUUUUAGCAUAAUUUGUAAAGUGAAGGCGUAAGGUAGCACGUCUCCUUUCCGGGUGAGAAACACUACACCAGCCCUAUACACCCUCACGAUGAGAAGCACCAUCAAAGUCUCUUCCAUGGUAGUUUGCACUUGAAUUAAAAUGACGUCUUCUCUGGUAAAUUCUUCAACAAUUCCAAUCAGCAGGUAUUGGAUGAUCAGCAGAAUCAGCUAAGCUUGUCCUUGAUAGCCUUUUGAGGCACAUAGAUGAUCUCACUCUGAAGGAGAAGAGACCAUCUUGCUAAUCGAUCAGACAAGACUGGUUUUGUCAUGAUGUACUUGAAGGAUUAGCUUUAGAUAUAAGAUGACCGUGUUGUGCUUAAAAGAUGUGGCGCAACUUUGAACAUCAAAGACCAGAGCUAAAGCACAUUUUCUCAAUUGGUGAAUAUUUAGCUCGCAUCGUCCAUCAUUUCUACUCAAGUAGUAAAAGGCAUUUUCUCUUCCUUCGUCAAUUCCUUGAGCAAGAAGAGCCCCUACUGAACGCUCUUGAGCGGCGAUAUACAAUUAAUGGUCGUCCACGAAUAGGAGCCAACCACACUGGAGUUUCCAUUAAAUAAGCCUUGAUACUCUCGAGGCAUUAUUGCAGGCUUCAUCCCAUUUCCUUUUUCAUGAGGCACUGAAUGGUUGAACAACGACCAUCCAAAGUUGAUAUGAACCGACGAGAUAAGCCAACCUCCCUUGCAAACUUUUGAGUUCGUGAUAUUUCGAGUUCAGGCACCUUCAAAAUAGUUUCAAUCUUCGAUUGCUCAAUCUCUAGCCACGACUCGUACAAUGAAAUCCCAAGAAUUUUCCAGAUGUCACUCCAAAGGCACACUCAAAUGGUUCAUCUUGAGUUGUAUCGUCGGCAAUCUAUCCAACACUUUCGUCAAAUUUUUCCAGAUGAUUUUUGGAUCUCUCGUUUUCACAACUAGCUCGUCAACUAUAACAUUCAACAUUUUUUUGUGAAGCAUGUCAUCGAAAAUCUUUUGCAUUGCUUCUUUGAUAUGUUAGUCCGGCAUUCUUUAACCCAAAAAGGCAUGACUUAUAACAAUAGAUUCCUUUUGGCGUACGAAGGCCGUCAACUCCUCAAUCUCGUGACAAAUCCAUUCGAUUUGAUUGUAGCCAAGAACCUCCAUAAAGAUAAUGCCUCAUGUCCAGUAAGUAGCGUCUAUCAUGAGCUCAUUUAUAGGCAAUGGAAAGGCAUCUUUUGGACAAGCCUUGUUAAGUCUCGAAGUCAACAAAAAUUCGAAUUGGUCCAUUUUUCCUCUUAACAGGGACAAUACUUGAAAUCCAUGUUGGGUCACUUGACUUCUCGAAUAAAGCCAGCUUCAUAAGCUUGUUGACCUCUGUUUCAAUCUUAGGAAUUAAUUCUGGUCGAAAGCGUCGUUGUGCUUGUUUGAUCGGUCGAACGCCGCGUUUUACUGCCAAGUUUUUAUGGACCCCACUUUGGAUGCUAGUUUCCAGCAAAUUCUUUAUAACUCCAAGUAAAGACAUCCUUGUAUCAGACAACAACUCAAUAUACAUUUUUUGUUCCUCAGAAGUGGAAGAGCGCUUUAGUUGUAACUGGUCGGGUCAUCUAAUGUGCCAAGGUUAAUUUCUUCAGUCAUCAACAUGGAUUUAACACCUUCUUGAAUGCUAGCGAGCAUCCUCCGCAUCGUCCUCAGAGAAUUUUCUCCAUCAAGAGCAGUAAUGUGGUAUGAACAUGCAUCACUUUCUUCAAGGGCCCGGGACGUCUGAUGGCGCGGGGGUUUGGGGAGAGUUUUGGUAACUACGCAUGUUUUAGUCUCAUCUUCAAUACUUUAUCGGUAGUCACUACCAGAUAUAUGGCGUUUCAUACGGAUGGUAUUGCACUUCUGCAGCUUUUUCAUCAUCCUCCAAGAAGAAAUUAUAUUUUUCCUUUUUCUUACUUCUUUGGGUUUAGAAAGACUUGAAACACCCACACCUCUCAUGCACAACCUUCGUGAAAUAGGUUGAUGUAGGGACCGGCUUGAUGCCCUAAUCGAUCAAAUACUUAGUUUCUUGACUUUGGGCUUACCCAGACGAUCAAAAACCAGAGGGUUUUAAUUGAAGUUGGUAUGCAUUUUCUUCAGCUGUGAUUAUGGUGAUUGCUUGACUUCUUUAUCACAAUACGCCCAGGAGCAGGUGGGGUGUUACCAAGGCCAAUAUGAGAAUUUUGAACACAUACCCCUUUUGCGUGAGUUAUGUUUUGAGUGAAUUCAACCUGCAUAUUUUCUCCAAUGACUUCCAGAUGAUAAGUGUUUUCCCUAAGCAGUUGAACUCUUGAGGGCUAUAUCCACCUUUGCGAGAGUUUGUCAGGCAAUUGGAUCAAACCUUUCUUUGUCGUUUGUGAAGCAUAUCACUAAUGCUCCAUUUUCAAAACUUUGUUGGCGGUCGUGUAUGAACCCUUCAAUGGCGUAGAAAGUUUUGUCCUGGUAAAGCGGUGAUAGGAAAAAGUCAAUCCUUUCAAAACUUGUUCCUCACUAUUUCUUAACUGGGCAUAUAUCGAAUAACUAGGCGCUUUUGAGUUUUAUCUUCAUACUUCCCUUAUCCUUGUUAUGAUUUGUCUUAAUUUUUGUCAAUGAAGUAAAGUUUUCAAGGGUUGAACUUCAUUACCCUUUUGAAACCUUGUAGAUUGAUUAAGAGACGACUGGUUUGAAUCUUUCAUAGAUAUUUGCCAUAUAAACUUUAGCAUCAGCAAACUAUGAUUCCUGUUUCAAUAGUGAAAGGUUUUGCCAUGCACAAUCCUUUUUACGACACCGUUACUACAAUACGUGAAACAUUGGUGGAGGGUAGAUGGUCAACACCAUUCUCAUGGAGCCAAGGUCGUCCUAGCAAUAAAAAAAACAUGUUGUAUGAAGUCUUAGCAUCAAUGACGUGGAAUAAUGCACUGAUGUCAUGUCAUCGAUAGUAAGUCAAGACGAAGAACUCCAAUAGCUCUUUGUUCCUCCUUGAGUAAACCCUGUUCAUCCAAGCGACUAGGGGACAACUCCUCCAUCGUGAUGCCAAGUUUUUCAUAAGCAUGAAGAGACAAAUGUUGACAUCUGAUCCACCAUCCAGUCAAUCCUAUUGAUUCUUUGCUCUCGCGUAUAUCCGGUGAUGAAGAGAGGAUGAUGUGUGGCGUUGAACCAAGCAACAAAUCCUUCGUCUGCAGAAAGUAAUGUUUAACAAUGCAAGUACACAAUUAUUUGAACAGAUUGAUCUCAUGCCUCAAUUGGGAUCUGUUACAGGUCAAGAAAGGUGAGUCCCUCAACUUGCUUAGGUAUUCUUCGACAUCCUACGUCAUUUACUGCGAACCGCACAACUUGAUAUAUUGACUUUGGAAAUGACUUCCACAAAGUAAUAGGAGUGGCGUCAUUUUUUGAUAUAUAUAUCCUUUUGACAAUACAAUGCUAACCUUCUUGCAUUUCUCUUCUUUGUUGCUUCCUUGCUUUGGGCUUAGUGAAAACACAGCUUGAUUGGCACGUUUGAGAAUGUCGUGACUUUGGGGUUUCUUUUUCUUCUAUGUGUGACAGGGUCCCUCUUUCAUCAUCUAAGCAGUCCGACCUUUUUUUCACUUAUCAUCAUGCCCCCAUUUAUGAUAGGCAGCUUUGCAAGAGCAAGCUAUGCAAGUCCAACUGGUUCAAUCGAUCCAAAUUGGAUUUCUGAUCUUGACUAUGUAAGGAAUGAGGCUUUCAGGCUUCUGAUCUCUUUGUGAAAGAAUAUAGGAUCAAGGAUCCAAAGACAAUUUGCAAUUUGAGUUAGUAGUUGCCACUUCUUUUUUUUCUUCUUCCAGCGUAAUCUUCCCUUGUCUAGCUAAUCCCCAAAUCUUUCUUUCAACACAAACAGCGUUGAGUGGGUGGGCUGACCAAACGAUAUACUUUCAUAGUUUUGAUCGUUAACCUUCCCAGCCCUCUCCGGUCGCUUCAUCCUCCGGGAGCUAUGACUUUCAAUUCUAUAGUUUGAAUCAGCAUUUUGGGGACUUCAACACAGGAAAAGGGUACUUCUCUGUUUUGCAUCUCUUGUAGUGUGAGUGUUUCUUCAUUUUUCCUUGGGUAGAAUCAGCUUUCCCUACUCCUUCUUUUUGGACUUAGGCAGAGAUCUUGACUGGGGCAUGCGAUUACAUCCAUUGAGUCUUUGGUAUUUGUCUUGAGAAAGACUUAUUGCUCCCUUUUCGAUUGUUGAGUUUGAUUUCGCCCUUGUGGGGGUCUUGAAAAGUAGCUCUUGACUUCCAUUUGUAGCAACGCUGAGUUCCAUUCAUGGUCGCGUAGCCAGAUUCUCAAAGUUCUAGGCUUGAUUCCUUGAAGAAUAAACGCAAACCCCAUUGCAUGCCUUGAAUGCACAUCUCGAUUGCAGAAGUCUCACACAACCUAUGCCUGCAAUUCAGGCCUCAGUUUUCUCCAUCGAUUGAUGUAAUCGACGACUGGUUCAUCUUUCCAUUGUCGAGAACCUAGUAAGCUCAAUCAUACUAACAGUACGACGGUGGCUAUAGAGCGUAUUUCAGUAAACUCUUGUUCUAACUGCUCCCAACUAUCAAUUAAUGCGAGGCGGUCGGGUCGGUGACGUUGCAAUACCAUCAAAGCAUGGCCCUUGAGUGUACGAACAAAAUUGGCUUGACGAGAAAUCUCCAUCGUUCCAGCAGUUAUUGCACGUUCCACAAAAUGGGCAAAUAUGUUAUUUUGGAUUACCUUGGCCACGAAUGGGGUUGAAUUUUGGUGGUUGGUAACCCACAUGCAUCUUUAGUUGAUCGAUCCUUUGAGUGGUAGGGCUUAGCAAUAAGUGAGAGAAGAUUUUGGAGUUCCUUGUCUUUUGAAUAGCACCUAGAAUGAUCUCCUUCAAGUUUGGUCGACAGGGAUUUUGAUCCAUCAGCCAGAUUGUAAGUGAUGUGUUAGUCCUCCUUGUUGUUUUAACAGAAGACUCAGUAACAUCUUUGUAGUUUUGGAGGGUUGUCAGCAGCUUGAUUUGAUUCCCUAAACUUUCCUAACUUGUGUCAUCAUGGACGCCAUUUGGACAUCAGGUCUUCCAUCGUUUUGGCAUAAGCCUCAGAUAGUUUUUGUCCCAAGAUAACAGUUGUUCUUCCAUGGCAAGAGCAUUUGUUGUUCAUGACAUGGCAUGGCAACAGAACUGAAUGAACAGCGGAGAUAUCUGGUAGGUGAGCUUUGAUCGGAGAGUAUCAGAGGAGGACUGGAGUUGAGCUUGCUGAAUCCUCAAUCUCUUUAUCAAUCAUAUCUAUAUUUUGAGCAAAUUUUUGAGUUACAGAGGGGCUUAGGGGGGGGGUGGGGGGGUUGAACGCCUCUUCUAGCAUUGCAGCAGCGUCUUUGCCCCCAAUGUUAACAGUUUCCCCUUACCUUCCUGAAGUUUGAAAAAUUGUUGACGUUUGGUAAGUUGAACCAAAAUAGGAUGAAUUUAGGAUGAAGCGAGGUUUGAGCGGAAAGUCCUCAACAGCAGCCUUUGCUUGCGCUUCGAGUUGUUUGGACCGGACUUUGAGUGCCCGGGCCGUGUUGGUAGUUUGCUGAUAUUUAGAGCCUCCAGCUUCAUUUGAGCAGCCUUAGAAUCGUCCUUCUUAGGGCCAUUGCUAAGUUGCUUGAAUUACUUGUCGAAGAGGAGAUAUGAGAGGCAGAGAAUGUCCCCUGGGCGUGCCAAAAAUUUGUACACACAAAUUUCUUAUCUAAAUAAUAAGAACAGAAAAUCGUAGUAGCAAAUUAUUUUUAUUGCUUUUGAAUAAGCGGAUUACAAUCUCUGAAAUAAUUUCUAAACUAAGAAAUUAAUCCUCUUGAUUCUUCUCUUCUAGAACGUUGACUCGAGGGCUUGAGCUUGAUCCCGAAUUACACGCCGUGUUCCUUCUCCGACUUAUCGAAAAAUAUGAUGAAGGAGAAAGUUCUUAGCGCUUUGAUGUUGAUCUUCAGAGCUCUCUCUUAAAUCUUGUCUUCUGUCCCUUUUCUUUGAAGGGUCAGCCCCCUAUUUAUGUGGAUAGCGGUGAAUUCUGAUAAUCUGAACUGCUUGAUGAUAUUAUCUUUUAUUUAAUUUUAAGAGAUAAUCACUUAAGAGAUACAAAAAAUUAAUAAUAAUUAAUCUCUAUUUUUAAUUGAAGAGAUAAUAAUCAAAGUUAAAAGAGAUUAUCUCUUAUUUAAUUUGGAAGAAUAAUUUUCAAUUUUAAAAAAGAUAUUUAAUCUCUAUUUAAUUGAAGAGAUAAUAAUUAAUAAUAUUAUCUUCUUAUUUAAUUGGACAGUGGCACAUUUUUGAUUGCUUAAAACUUGUCAUUUGAAGCUUUGGUUGGGGUUUUCAUCUAUAUUGUGGCGAUAUUUUAUUCGCUCCAUCUUGCAGAAUUUGACACCUGUCAACAUUUGAUUAGUCAAAAUUUGUGACUUUUUUUUCAUAAGACACUUGCCAAUUUUUUGAUUGGCUAUAAUUUUUUUGAGUGUCUACACUUGUUUUCAUUAUUGGUAUAAAAAAUAGUAUCUUUUAACCCAUUUAUAAUUUUUUAAUGGUUAUUUUUAUUUAAAUAUAUUUUUAUUAUUUAUUUAUUAUAUAACUGGUUGAACAUGUUCAACUACGAUUGAACCAGUGAAUCGAUGCCUUGACUAGUUCAAUCAUCGGUUCGGUUCGAUUCUAAUAACUAUGCUCAUGAUUCAAUCUUCCCCCAAAUUCGCAUGAAAUAUACAAACUUUUCUUAAUAAUAAUUCAAUCAUUUAACUAACGCCCUCUAAAUUUAAAAUUUACAAUUGGUUUCGUUUCAAUAAAACUUACUAUUCAUAACUUUUUUGGAAAAAUUACAGGGAAAAAAAUAGCAUUUGAGCUUGCUAACAUAUUAAAUUCUAAACUUUUAAUUUUAACAAUUAAAACUCAAUACUUUUUAACUUAUCACAAAUCCAACAAUCCAUAGCUUUCAUUUAUUUAUUUUUUGAUAACUCUGUAUCCGGCCUAAAAAUCGACAAAUGUGAAACACGUGGAGGUUAUGCAUGUUUGGCAAAACACAACCAAACAAAAAUCCUGUGUUGGCAAUGGCUUGGGUGUUCUUUAUUCUAUUUGUACGUGGAGGUUAUGAAAAGAGAAAUUAGACAAUUGGCCUAAGAAAGAGCCGACUCGGACGAAGACUUAUUCGGUGAGAGUUAUUUAAGACAUAAUUUUUAUAUUAUGUGAGAAAGAAUUGAGAGAUUUAACUUAAAAUAAAUUGAUAAUAAAUAGAGUAGUUUCAAGAUUAUAUAUAUUGAAUUUUAUUAUAAUCUUUUAUAAUUCUUUAAAAAUAUGAUCUACUGCAAAAAAUUAAGUUAAUCAUAUACCAGUAACCACAUAAUCAAACAAUAUUUGUCUUAUAGUGUAUUGUGAGAGUCAUAUUUUGUUCAUUUUUUUCAAAACAUACGUUUUUAAAAUAUGUGGCUAUUAAUAUCCGAUUAAUCUUUUUUUAUUAACAAGUUCUACUAAAUUAAUAAUUUGGAUCAUGAAAAUAAACCAGCGAUGGGGUCCAAACUCAUAUUUUGUAUGCCAUAAGCUUAAAAAACUGUCACUAAAAAUUACCCUCAUUUAUAAUUAGCUAAAAUAGUUGAGUUCAUUAUUUUGACCGAUCACAAAUAAAAAUAGUGUCAUUUUUAGAUUUUAAAAAAAUAAAAGAAAAUCUGUGGAAUUGAAAUAGAAAACACUAAUCAGCGGUGUUUAAAGGAUAACAAAUAUAUUAAUCAACAUAAAAAAAAUAUAAAUAUAUUUAUAAAUGUAUUAAACUAUAUAGAAAAUAUAUUAACAACAGUAAAAACUGUGAAUUAGCCAUCAAGACUUUGGGAUGGGUGGGAGGUGUCUGCCAAUAUCAUUUUAAAUAUGUAAAUAUUAUAAAUUUCAUUGUAAAAAUCAAUAUUUAAUAAAUAAAUAUGUCAUAUUAUAAUUGAUAUAAAUUGACAUUGAUCGAUUAUAAAUUUAUAUUCAAUUAAUAUAAUUUUUUAUAGUAUUAAUGUUAUUGAUAAGGUUUACAAUAUUAACAAUUUGAAUUUUCAAAAUGAACUCAAAAUACUUAUAGAUUGCACCGAUAAAAUCUAUAUUUGGACCUAAUCCUUUCUUAAAUGUGUCAAUUUCACCAAUCAUUAUGUAGUUAUUCACUUUCCACGUAAAAGACAUUCUUUCCAAAAUUAUCUCACAUUUGUAAUCUAUUCAUUCUCAUUUUCUUUUAUUAUUCUAAUAAAAUGAAUUAUUGAAUUUGAGUUCCUUCGUAUUUUUCUUUCAAAUUCUACAUAUACUUUGAAAAGUCAAAAGCCAUCAAUCCACAAAUCAAUGAGGAAUGGGGGAUAUAAGUUUUAUGGAAAUAAUGGCUACUAGAAAAUAUAAGUAGGGAGAAAUAGAAGAAAAAAAAUUAUCAAAAAAUUAUAAAUUACCGUGUUUAAACUAACUUUUUUUUAUAGAUCUUUUAGUUGUAUUUGGAUUUUUGAGUGUUCUUAUUUAGUGACGGUUUUAAUAGUUUUGAAUCAAAAUUUCAUACUUUUUUUUUUGUUUCUCCUCACGAGAGUAGUUGAAAAUCUAAAAUCUUCAUCUAAUUUUUUUUUUUUUUGAUAUGAAAAAUUUAUAUCUAAUUUUAGUUUUUGUUUAAGUUCACUAAAAAUAAUAAAAAUAAAAACUUUUUAAUCAAUAACAUCCUUUUCCUAAUUUAAACUAAAUCUUUUUACAGUUCAAUUUGCCUUGCUAGGAGGAAUUAAAAAAGGAUAAAAUCUUAAUAAAACGUAAAAUCUUUAAAAAAUUAAAAAAUCACAACAGUUAAAAAAAAGUAGGCCAACGUGGCCAGUAUUAUAGUUUUUAUAGGUAAUUUCAUAAUUAUAACUCUUAUAUUCCACAAAAUCCCAUCGCAUGACAGCACGUGACAUUAUUAGGUUGUAUUUGGAUGGAGGAUUUGGCGAUGGAAAAUAAAAAAUAAAAAAAUUUAGGGAAAUCAACCUGAAUCAUUAGAUCUUUUAACUUUUAUGUUUCCAUUUUUUUUUUCUCGGCAAGAAUCUUUUAUCCAAAAAGUCUAACAAGGAUAUCACAAAUAGAACACUUGCACAAUUUCACAAAUUAUUUUUCAAAUUAUUUUAACAAAACACUCGUCUAUUUGAAUUCCAUGCACUCGGAUUUAUUAAAACAAACAACUAUAUAUGCAUAAUAAUUUGAAACCCUAAAAUAGCGUAGCCGUCGAGACAAUUAACUGCCUUAAAAUAGAUAAAUCAGAAAUAACUACGUUAACUAUCGUGAACGACGAGGCCAUAUUUAACAAAGUCCACACGAAAUCGGGUGCAUCGGUCUGUGGUCCAUCCAGGAUCCAAGAAACGUACAACCUUCCAAGCUUCAGACUAUCGUCGUCAGGAUAAUCUCCUGCUCGAUCCUGAUCCCGUUUGUUUAUUAUCUCUACGCUCAAUAAAUGCAUUUUCUUCGCGAGAAACUUGCAACGUCCCGAAGUAACUUCACAUGUUGCAUCCAAAGGAAUCACAGCGUUUCAUAUCUUUACACAUUAGCUAGAAGUGCAUUAUCACCAAAGCAACGAGCCCAGAUCUCGAAUUUUUGAAGAUUUCUACACCCAUUUAAAGGCUCUAUCGCUGUUCCCAGCAGAUGUGGUCGAAAGCAUUUCUAAAUUAUCGGCAUACAUUCAUGCUUUCCAUCCUAAUUAGUAAAGGGAAUUGAACUGGAGUGAACCAACAAGUACCUACAAACUAAACGUGCUGCUACUAUUAUGGGAUGAAAUACUAAUUCAAAGUCAGCUUCAUAAAGAACUGAUAUAAAACGGUGUAGAGUUUAAUUCUUUCUCCACAUCACUUUCUUCUUCUUCUUCUUCUGCUUCCUUCUCUAAUGUCCUGACCAAUUCUUCUGGCCCGUAAAACCGCUUAUCGGUCCGGGCAAUUUGAAUUUUCAAAAUGAACUCAAAAUACUUAUAGAUUGCAUCUAUAAAAUCCAUUUUUGGACCUGAUCCUUUCUUAAAUAUGUCAAUUUCACCAAUCAUUAUGUAGUUAUUCACUUUCCAUGUAAAAGAAAUUCUUUCCGAAAUUGUCUCACAUUUAUAAUCUAUUUAUUCUCAUUUUCUUUUAUUAUUCUAAUAAAAUGAAUUAUUGAAUUUGAGUUGCUUCGUAUUUUUCCUUCAAAUUCUACAUAUACUUUGAAAAGUCAAAUGUCAUCAAUCCACAAAUCAAUGAGGAAUGGGCGAUAUAAGUUUUGUGGAAAUAAUGGCUACUAGAAAAUAUAAGUUGGGAGAAAUAGAAGAAAAAAAAUUAUCAAAAAAUUAUAAAUUAUCGUGUUUAAACUAACUUUUUUUUUUAUAGAUCUUUUAGUUGUAUUUGGAUUUUUGAGGUUUGUAUUUAGUGAAGUUUUAUAGCUUUUCAAUCAAAAUUUCAUACUUUUUUUUUGUGUUUCUCCUCACGAGAGUAGUUUGAAAAUCUAAAAAUCUUCAUCUAAUGUUUUUUUUUUUGAUAUGAAAAAAUCUUUAUCUAAUUUGAGUAUUUGUGUAAGUUCACUAAAAAAAAUAAAAAUAAAAUACUUUUAAUCAAUAAAAUCCUUUUCCUAAUUUGAACUAAAUCUUUUUACAUUUUCAAAUUUGUCUAGGAGGAAUUAAAAAAAGGAUAAAAUCUUAAUAAAACGAUAAAAAAUCUAUUAAAACAAAUUAAAAAUCAAAACAGUUAAAAAAAAGUAGGCCAAACUUGGCCAAGUAUUAUAGUUUUUAUAGAUUAAUUUCAUAAUUAUAACUCCUUAUAUCAACAAAAUCUCAUCGCAUGUACAUGACAUUAUUAGGCUAUAUUUGGAUGGAGGAUUUGGCAACGGAAAAUAAAAUAAAAAUAAAAAAAUUAGGAAAACCAACUUGGAUCAUUAGAUCUUUUAACUUUUAUGUUUCCAUUUAUUUUUUUUACGGCAAGAAUCAUUUAUCCAAAAAGCCUAACAAGGAUAUCACAAUAGAACCACUUUCACAAUUUCACAAAUUAUUUCCCAAAUUAGUUUAACAAAACACUCGUCAAUCUGAAUUCCAUGCACUUGGAUUUAUUAAAACAAACAACUAUAUAUGCAUAAAAAUUUGAGACCCUAAAAUAGCGUAGACGUUGCGAUAAUUAACUACUUUAAAAUAAAAAAACCAGAAAUAACUAAGUUACCUACCACGAACGACGAGGCCAUAUUUACAAAGUCCACACAAAAUCGGGUGCAUCGAUCUGUGGUCCAUCCAAGGUCCGAUAAACGUACAACGUUCCAAGCUUCAGACUAUCGUUAGGAUAAUCUCCUACUUGAUCUUGAUCUUCUUCGCGAGAAACUUGCAACCUCCCAUAGUAACUUCUCACGAUUGCAUCCAAAGGAAUCACAGCAUUUCAUAUCUUUACGCAUUAGCUAGAAGUGCAUUAUCACCAAAGCAACAUUCAUACUUUCCAUCCAAAUUAUUAAAGGGUAUUGAACUGGAGUGAACCAACAAGUACCUGAUUCAUCAAAUUCAAACUAUCGAGACCAAAAUAAUUUUUUUCAACCCACAAACUAAACGUGC
rnacentral:lncRNA from 1 species